UACAGAGGUGGCAAGCGUUGUUCGGAAUUACUGGGCGUAAAGAGCUCGUAGGCGGUUUGUCGCGUCGGCUGUGAAAACCUGAGGCUCAACCUCGGGCCUGCAGUCGAUACGGGCAAACUAGAGUUCGGUAGGGGAGACUGGAAUUCCUGGUGUAGCGGUGGAAUGCGCAGAUAUCAGGAGGAACACCGGUGGCGAAGGCGGGUCUCUGGGCCGAAACUGACGCUGAGGAGCGAAAGCGUGGGGAGCGAACAGG
rnacentral:rRNA from 1 species